CCGCACAAGCGGUGGAGCAUGUGGUUAAUUCGAAGCAACGCGUAAGAACCUUACCAGGUCUUGACAUCCCGAUGCUAUUUCUAGAGAUAGAAAGUUACUUCGGUACAUCGGUGACAGGUGGUGCAUGGUUGUCGUCAGCUCGUGUCGUGAGAUGUUGGGUUAAGUCCCGCAACGAGCGCAACCCCUAUUGUUAGUUGCCAUCAUUCAGUUGGGCACUCUAGCGAGACUGCCGGUAAUAAACCGGAGGAAGGUGGGGAUGACGUCAAAUCAUCAUGCCCCUUAUGACCUGGGCUACACACGUGCUACAAUGGUUGGUACAACGAGUUGCGAGUCGGUGACGGCGAGCUAAUCUCUUAAAGCCAAUCUCAGUUCGGAUUGUAGGCUGCAACUCGCCUACAUGAAGUCGGAAUCGCUAGUAAUCGCGGAUCAGCACGCCGCGGUGAAUACGUUCCCGGGCCUU
rnacentral:rRNA from 1 species